AGUAUUUCAUUGAAAUGAGCCGAAUUUACACCACUUAGUGAGGAUCAAUUGGAGGGCAAGUCUGGUGCCAGCAGCCGCGGUAAUUCCAGCUCCAAUAGCGUAUAUUAAAGUUGUUGCAGUUAAAAAGCUCGUAGUUGGACUUCUGGCUGGGCGCCGAUGUGACACAAAGUGCUCACAAGGCACCGGCCAUCCUUCUGUAAACUGCGUUAGUACUUCAUUGGACUGCGUAGGGAUCAGAUAAUUUACCUUGAGAAAAUUAGAGUGUUUCAGGCAGGCUUAGCCGGAAUACAUUAGCAUGGAAUAAUGGAAUAGGACUAUGGUCUCGUUGUUGGUUUGAGGGAUCGCAGUAAUGAUUAAUAGGGAUAGUUGGGGGCAUUAGUAUUUAUUAGCUAGAGGUGGAAUUCUCUAAUUUAAUAAAGACUAACUUAUGCGAAAGCAUUUGCCAAGGAUGUUUUCAUUAAUCAAGAACGAAAGUUAGGGGAUCAAAGACGAUCAGAUACCGUCCUAGUCUUAACCAUAAACUAUGCCGACUCGGGAUCGGGAGCGCGUGUUAUCCGCUUUCGGCACCGUAUGAGAAAUCAAAGUCUUUG
rnacentral:rRNA from 1 species